UACGAAGGGGGCUAGCGUUGCUCGGAAUCACUGGGCGUAAAGGGUGCGUAGGCGGGUCUUUAAAGUCAGGGGUGAAAUCCUGGAGCUCAACUCCAGAACUGCCUUUGAUACUGAAGUAUGUAGUAUGGGAGAGGUGAGUGGAACUGCGAGUGUAGAGGUGAAAUUCGUAGAUAUUCGCAAGAACACCAGUGGCGAAGGCGGCUCACUGGCCCGGUACUGACGCUGAGGUGCGAAAGCGUGGGGAGCAAACAGGAU
rnacentral:rRNA from 1 species